CAUGGACACAAAAUCAGAAAAUCAGGCUCCUUUCCCAGCUGUGUAGCUUACAACAUUUUUUCCCAUCCUAUGCCUCAGUCUUCUGCCAUUUAAACUAAAAACACUGCUCUGAAGAAGAGGAAAAUCACCGCGAAAAAAAUAGCACAACAUUUCUUUUUUCGCAACAGUUGCGUUACGCGUUAAAACGUAACGCUCUUACUUCCCCGCGUUUUCCCACGCACCCAGGUCGUUUCAAAAAGAAAGUCGUCACUGGCGGCACCCACGCACGGCGACGACAUCAGGCUGGGUAUCAGGGCUCGAGCAAGAGGCCCGAAGCGCCGGUGGCUGCACCCAGGGACGGCUGCGCGCCCGCGCCGGACCAGCGGGUGAGGCAGCAGCUCUCACCACCAACCACCACGGCCCCCAGGGCCUCCCCAACCCUACGCAAACCAUCCAGAUGAGAUGAAAAGAAAGUGCAGCUCUCACCACCAACCACCACGGCCCCCGGGGCCUCCUCAACCCUACGCAAACCAUCCAGAUGAGAUGAAAAGAAAGUUCAGCAAGUGCUUCGGGCUGGAAGGAGCUUACAUGCAAGUUUAUGUCAGCUGGAACGUAUUUUGGAUCUUGAGAAACACUAAGUAGGAGCCACUUCUAGCAGCUCUUUUCUACGCACAGCUCAGGCUUGGCUUGCCUGCUCAUUGCUACACCCAUAAAAUUAUGGUUUUGAUCAACUUCUUCAGAACCCUUUUUUCUCUCUGAAGUUUUUCCGUUUCCCCAAGAAGCGCUGCUCUAAUCACACGAGGACCAAGAACGCAAGGUUUUCUCUACCCUGGAUUAAUCCCGACGCAGCUAUCGUGCUGGCAAUAAGUGAAACUACCCUGGUGCAAACAGCAGCUGCAGCAAGGGGAGAAAUCACAGUUUCCAUCAGCUGAGUGUGCCCCUGAUUUUGACUCAAGUAAUGUCAUCUAAUGUGAAGUAGGAGCCUGCAUCAGCCCAGCUGCAUCGGUUACUGACCACAAAUGACUUAAUCCCCAGUAUAAACAAGGCCUAACGCUAAAACUCAUUUGCCUAUUCCCUCACAGCUUCCUACUCACAGUUCACGGAAGAUCACUGCUCCUGGUUCCCACGACUGGAGAGUCAGGAUCAAAGGCUUACAGAGAAAAAAUAUAAAGCUUUUUUAAAUAAAAAAUAAAAAAUCAGGUUACA
rnacentral:lncRNA from 1 species